CAGGGAGACAACAAAAUGUUUAUAUUAUUAUUUUGUCACCUUAGGUCGAUCGGUAUCUCACGUUUUUAAUUUAUUAAGAAUUUCAUUUCCUAAGUUUUUCUAGGUCACACCCAUUAUUUUUCCUGGGCCAUUAGCUCAGGUGGUUAGAGCGCACCCCUGAUAAGGGUGAGGUCCCUGGUUCAAGUCCAGGAUGGCCCAUAUCUCUAUGUUGGGGGUAUAGCUCAGUUGGUAGAGCGCCUGCUUUGCAAGCAGGAUGUCAGCGGUUCGAGUCCGCUUACCUCCACUGAUUACCACCUCUUCCAUAAUCGGUAGAAAGGAAACGUUUUGAGUAGUGAUCAAAUUCUGAAAGAAUCUAGCUUCCUAAUGGAAUCAUUAAGAUGCUGGACUCAUUGAAUUAAUUUCAUUGUUUUCAGAGAACCUUGACAACUGCAUAGAUUAUUUUUAAAGACAAUAAGCAUCUUUAAUGAUGCAGAUUUAUUAUUUGUGCGAAUGCAUUAAUAACAAUUCUAUUAAGCUGAUGCUUCAAUUUUGAAGUUAUU
rnacentral:tRNA from 1 species